rnacentral:rRNA from 1 species
UACGGGGGGGGCAAGCGUUGUUCGGAAUUACUGGGCGUAAAGGGCCCGUAGGCGGCCAACUAAGUCGGACGUGAAAUCCCCAGGCUCAACCUGGGAACUGCAUUCGAUACUGCGUGGCUAGAGUGCUGGAGAGGAGACUGGAAUUUACGGUGUAGCAGUGAAAUGCGUAGAUAUCGUAAGGAAGACCAGUGGCGAAGGCGAGUCUCUGGACAGCAACUGACGCUGAGGCACGAAGGCCAGGGGAGCAAACGGG